rnacentral:rRNA from 1 species
AUUAAACGCUGGCGGCAUGCCUUACACAUGCAAGUCGAACGGCAGCACGGGGGCAACCCUGGUGGCGAGUGGCGGACGGGUGAGUAAUGCAUCGGAACGUGCCCUGAAGUGGGGGAUAACGCAGCGAAAGCUACGCUAAUACCGCAUAUUCUGUGAGCAGGAAAGCAGGGGAUCGCAAGACCUUGCGCUGAUUGAGCGGCCGAUAUCAGAUUAGCUAGUUGGUGAGGUAAAGGCUCACCAAGGCGACGAUCUGUAGCGGGUCUGAGAGGAUGAUCCGCCACACUGGAACUGAGACACGGUCCAGACUCCUACGGGAGGCAGCAGUGGGGAAUUUUGGACAAUGGGCGCAAGCCUGAUCCAGCCAUGCCGCGUGCGGGACGAAGGCCUUCGGUU